UGUGUAGGCGGUUCUCCAAGUUUGGUGUGAAAUCUCCCGGCUCAACCGGGAGGGUGCGCCGAAAACUGGAGGGCUAGAGUGCGGGAGGGGAGAGUGGAAUUCCUGGUGUAGCGGUGAAAUGCGUAGAUAUCAGGAGGAACACCGGUGGUGUAGACGGCUCUCUGGACCGUAACUGACGCUGAGACACGAAAGCGUGGGUAGCAAACAGGAUUAGAUACCCUGGUAGUCCACGCCCUAAACGAUGCAUAUUUGGUGUAGGUCAUUCAGUUGAUCUGUGCCGGAGCUAACGCGUUAAAUAUGCCGCCUGGGGAGUACAGUCGCAAGGCUGAA
rnacentral:rRNA from 1 species